rnacentral:rRNA from 1 species
GACGAACGCUGGCGGCGUGCCUAAUACAUGCAAGUGGGACGCAAGGGAACACACUGUGCUUGCACACCGUGUUUUCUUGAGUCGCGAACGGGUGAGUAACGCGUAGGUAACCUGCCUAUUAGCGGGGGAUAACUAUUGGAAACGAUAGCUAAUACCGCAUAAUAUUAAUUAUUGCAUGAUAAUUGAUUGAAAGAUGCAAGCGCAUCACUAGUAGAUGGACCUGCGUUGUAUUAGCUAGUUGGUAAGGUAAGAGCUUACCAAGGCGACGAUACAUAGCCGACCUGAGAGGGUGAUCGGCCACACUGGGACUGAGACACGGCCCAGACUCCUACGGGAGGCAGCAGUAGGGAAUCUUCGGCAAUGGACGAAAGUCUGACCGAGCAACGCCGCGUGAGUGAAGAAGGUUUUCGGAUCGUAAAGCUCUGUUGUAAGUCAAGAACGUGUGUGAGGGUGGAAAGUUCAC